GGAAACAGGUGCUAAUACCGCAUAAAACCUAACACCGCAUGGUGUAGGGUUGAAAGAUGGUUUCGGCUAUCACUUUAGGAUGGACCCGCGGUGCAUUAGUUAGUUGGUGAGGUAAAGGCUCACCAAGACCGUGAUGCAUAGCCGACCUGAGAGGGUAAUCGGCCACACUGGGACUGAGACACGGCCCAGACUCCUACGGGAGGCAGCAGUAGGGAAUCUUCCACAAUGGACGAGAGUCUGAUGGAGCAACGCCGCGUGAGUGAAGAAGGUUUUCGGAUCGUAAAACUCUGUUGUUGGAGAAGAAUGUAUCUGAUAGUAACUGAUCAGGUAGUGACGGUAUCCAACCAGAAAGCCACGGCUAACUACGUGCCAGCAGCCGCGGUAAUAAGAU
rnacentral:rRNA from 1 species